UUGCAUUGCCCAUAGCAAACCUUCAGCUUCUGCUUGCAGUGGUGAUUUGGUGCGUGUAUAUCAGCCCUUGCUCCAAACAGCAUUGGAAAGUCAUCAUCCAUUAACACAAAGCCAAGUCCAUAUAUGUCUCUUUCAUUUAUCCAGGAUGUCUAACAGGAGCGUUUCUUUGCGGAGGAACAGUUGUAUCUGUUACCUCAGCUCCCAUAUCAAUCUCUAUAAUCUCGUCUAUACGUUGAGCUAUCCUCCAACACUCU
rnacentral:lncRNA from 1 species